rnacentral:rRNA from 1 species
GACGAACGCUGGCGGCGUGCUUAACACAUGCAAGUCGAACGGAAAGGCCUGCUUUCCCUUGUGGAUUGCGGGUACUCGAGUGGCGAACGGGUGAGUAACACGUGAGUGAUCUGCCCCCAACUUGGGUAUAAGCCUGGGAAACUGGGUCUAAUUCCCGAUAGGACUGCAGGGUGGUGCCUGUGGUGGAAAACGAUUUUCUAGUGGUUGGGGAUGAGCUCGCGGCCUAUCAGCUUGUUGGUGGGGAAAUGGCCUACCAAGGCGGCGACGGGUAGCCGGCCUGAGAGGGUGGACGGCCACAUUGGGACUGAGAUACGGCCCAGACUCCUACGGGAGGCAGCAGUGGGGAAUAUUGCACAAUGGGCGGAAGCCUGAUGCAGCGACGCCGCGUGGGGGAUGACGGCCUUCGGGUUGUAAACUCCUUUCGACCGCGAGGAAGCCACCUGGUUGGAAGGGUGGUGACGGUAGUGGUAGAAGAAGCACCGGCUAACUACGUG